rnacentral:lncRNA from 1 species
UUAUAAUGUAUAUAUAUUAAAGUGUUGGCUAUUUUCUUGUACAUUGGUGUGAAACUUGUAUAAUUUCAAAUUUGUCAUUCUCAGCUACAUUAUUGUCAUUCUAAUGGUUCGUGUAAUGGUGGAGCUGCAUGGAGAACAUAAUAAAACUAUAGGAAAUUGAGAAAUGUGAUAGUUAAUAGUUGUUGUAAAUUGGAGAACGAUGACAGUUAUUUAACAAAAUAAAUUGUCACG